UACGGGGGGAGCAAGCGUUGUUCGGAUUUACUGGGCGUAAAGGGCGCGUAGGCGGCCACCGCAAGUCAGUUGUGAAAGUCGGGGGCUCAACCCUCGAAUGCCGGUGGAUACUGUCGGGCUAGAGUGCGGAAGAGGCGAGUGGAAUUCCUGGUGUAGCGGUGAAAUGCGCAGAUAUCAGGAGGAACACCUAUUGCGAAGGCAGCUCGCUGGGACGUAACUGACGCUGAGACGCGAAAGCGUGGGGAGCAAACAGG
rnacentral:rRNA from 1 species